UGCGUAGGUGGCGCGUUAAGUCCGUUGUGAAAUCCCUGGGCUCAACCCAGGAACCGCUUCGGAUACUGGCGCGCUUGAGGCGAGUAGGGGUCACUGGAACUGACGGUGGAGCGGUGAAAUGCGUAGAUAUCGUCAGGAACGCCGAUGGUGAAGACAGGUGACUGGGCUCGAUCUGACACUGAGGCACGAAAGCGUGGGGAGCGAACG
rnacentral:rRNA from 1 species